CGUGGGUAACCUACCUAUAAGACUGGAAUAACUUCGGGAAACCGGAGCUAAUGCCGGAUAACAUUUGGAACCGCAUGGUUCUAAAGUAAAAGAUGGUUUUGCUAUCACUUAUAGAUGGACCCGCGCCGUAUUAGCUAGUUGGUAAGGUAACGGCUUACCAAGGCAACGAUACGUAGCCGACCUGAGAGGGUGAUCGGCCACACUGGAACUGAGACACGGUCCAGACUCCUACGGGAGGCAGCAGUAGGGAAUCUUCCGCAAUGGACGAAAGUCUGACGGAGCAACGCCGCGUGAGUGAUGAAGGUUUUCGGAUCGUAAAACUCUGUUAUUAGGGAAGAACAAAUGUGUAAGUAACUGUGCACAUCUUGACGGUACCUAAUCAGAAAGCCACGGCUAACUACGUGCCAGCAGCCGCGGUAAUACGUAGGUGGCAAGCGUUAUCCGGAAUUAUUGGGCGUAAAGCGCGCGUAGGCGGUUUCUUAAGUCUGAUGUGAAAGCCCACGGCUCAACCGUGGAGGGUCAUUGGAAACUGGGAAACUUGAGUACAGAAGAGGAAAGUGGAAUUCCAUGUGUAGCGGUGAAAUGCGCAGAGAUAUGGAGGAACACCAGUGGCGAAGGCGACUUUCUGGUCUGUAACUGACGCUGAUGUGCGAAAGCGUGGGGAUCAAACAGGAUUAGAUACCCUGGUAGUCCACGCCGU
rnacentral:rRNA from 1 species